UUGUUGAUCAGUUCACACCACACGACAUAACGUGACUGCCCCACAACAGGAGGUAACGCACUACACGAGUUGAGAACAACUCUAUCACCCGGCGAUUCUAUCUUGUCCACAAACCACGUUUUGUCACGAAAAAUCACGCGAUAAAACAAACCGGAAAUGACGCGAAACAACACGCGCACCAGUAAACCCACAGAAGAAGAAUCAAGACGACGCGCAAAACUUUUGUUUGUAUAGACUUCAGACAGAAAUUAGUGCUGCAAACCGUUUGCGCGAUGCAAAGCCGCAAAAGAAAAAAAUGAAGAGAUGUGUAUGUGGAGAGGUGGACACCACACGCGGACAGCAGGGAUUUAAGAGUUGGAGAAUAGGACAGGCUUCGCAAAGCAUGACUUGGAGAGGGUUUGUCUUUGACCCUGCGAUUCUAUGCAACAGGUGACACGUUCAAGUCCCUCAGGUUCAAGUCCAGGAUGGGGGACCAGCACCAUCCCACAAAUAGUUUUGGAUAGCUGUUCUGUACCAGGUUAUAAAGGACGAUUUCUUGAAGACACCAUCAACGGAAGGAGAGUGGCAUAGCCGUGGACUUCGAAAGGAAGUGGCAGUUUCCACAUUGCUUUGGGGUACUUACUACCACUCCAGCUGUAGCAGACUGCUGACCAAAACAUGGUUGAUGGGCAAUGGAAGAAUCGUGGGAUGGGUGCUUUUCAACCGAUGAACGCCACCUCACAUCGCAAUUGUAUGGCAACAGCAAAAGUGCAACGCACUCUGAUGCGGGACUACUUUGUCUCACCAGCGGGUAGUGUUUAUUGGCAAGUUCAACACAUUUUAAAAGGAACUGAUGUAGAGUUAUCCCUGCAAACAGCAGAUUAAAGCCAGUUAUUGUCAGUUUAGGACAUUAGUUUUCUUGUGUGUUCUAAAGUCCUGUAUUUGUAAAGAACACAAUGUGGUUCACUUUUUCAUUGUUUUAAGUAUUCUGUUUAUUGUUGUGUUAUUAUUCAAUUAAUUUUAAUUGCAUACAAAUCAAAAGGUGCAGGAAUGUAACAAAUAAAGGCAAUCUGCAUGUUGCAAUUAA